CAAUAGCGUAUAUUAAAGUUGUUGCAGUUAAAAAGCUCGUAGUUGGAUUUCUGGUAGGAGCGACCGUGCCGAACUUGAUUGUUCGAGUAUUGUGUUGUCUUCAGCCAUCCUCGUGGAGAACUUUUCUAACAUUAACUUGUUGGGAUUGGGACCCGCGUCGUUUACUGUGAAAAAAUUAGAGUGUUCAAAGCAGGCAUUAGCUUGAAUACAUUAGCAUGGAAUAAUAAGAUAGGACUUUGGUACUAUUUUGUUGGUUUGCAUACCAAAUUAAUGAUCAACAGGAACAGUUUGAGGAUAUUCGUAUGAACAUGUCAGAGGUGAAAUUCUUGGAUUUUGAUCAGACGAACUACUGCGAAAGCAUUUAGCAAGGAUGUUUUCAUUAA
rnacentral:rRNA from 1 species